rnacentral:sRNA from 1 species
GCGGAGGAAAAGAAACCAACAGGGAUUGCCCUAGUAACGGCGAGUGAAGCGGCAACAGCUCAAAUUUGAAAUCUGGCUCUCUUUGGGGGUCCGAGUUGUAAUUUGCAGAGGAUGCUUUGGCAUUGGCGGCGGUCUAAGUUCCUUGGAACAGGACAUCGCAGAGGGUGAGAAUCCCGUACGUGGGCGCCUGCCUUUGCCGUGUAAAGCUCCUUCGACGAGUCGAGUUGUUUGGGAAUGCAGCUCUAAAUGGGAGGUAAAUUUCUUCUAAAGCUAAAUACCGGCCAGAGACCGAUAGCGCACAAGUAGAGUGAUCGAAAGAUGAAAAGUACUUUGGAAAGAGAGUCAAAAAGCACGUGAAAUUGUUGAAAGGGAAGCGCUUGCAGCCAGACUUGCCCGCAGUUGCUCACCUAGGCUUUGGCCUGGGGCACUCUUCUGCGGGCAGGCCAGCAUCAGUUUGGGCGGUCGGACAAAGGCCUCUGUCAAGUAUCUCCCUUCGGGGUGACCUUAUAGGGGAGGCGUAAUGCGACCAGCCCGGACUGAGGUCCGCGCAUCUGCUAGGAUGCUGGCGUAAUGGCUGUAAGCGGCCCGUCUUGAAACACGGACCAAGGAGUCUAACAUCUAUGCGAGUGUUUGGGUGUCAAGCCCGGGCGCGCAAUGAAAGUGAACGGAGGUGGGAACCCUUUGGGUGCACCAUCGACCGAUCCUGAUGUCUUCGGAUGGAUUUGAGUAAGAGCAUAGCUGUUGGGACCCGAAAGAUGGUGAACUAUGCUUGAAUAGGGUGAAGCCAGAGGAAACUCUGGUGGAGGCUCGCAGCGGUUCUGACGUGCAAAUCGAUCGUCAAAUUUGGGCAUAGGGGCGAAAGACUAAUCGAACCAUCUAGUAGCUGGUUCCUGCC